rnacentral:lncRNA from 1 species
AAAUGCCACCAUGAACUGCAGUUACAAAACUAGUAUAAACAAUUUACAGUGGUAUAGACAAAAUUCAGGUAGAGGCCUUGUCCACCUAAUUUUAAUACGUUCAAAUGAAAGAGAGAAACACAGUGGAAGAUUAAGAGUCACGCUUGACACUUCCAAGAAAAGCAGUUCCUUGUUGAUCACGGCUUCCCGGGCAGCAGACACUGCUUCUUACUUCUGUGCUACGGACGCACAAGCUAUAAAUUGAUCUUCGGGAGUGGGACCAGACUGCUGGUCAGGCCUGUAUCCAGAACCCUGACCCUGCCGUGUACC